rnacentral:misc_RNA from 1 species
UAAUUAAUUAAUCGGUCCGUCCGAUAUAGGGAAAAGCUGCCACCUAUGCGCGAGAAAAAUGAAUUACAGCGCCGGCAUGAACGUGUUAAAUCUAAUAUGGCACUCGUUCUUUCGUUAUUAAAGUUAACAUUGACUUGAUAUUUUAGUUGGUUUCUUCUUUUUACGUCAUUUUUUUGUUAAAAUUGGAUUUGUUUCUUACGUUUUAUUUCAAUAUUCAAUAUGGAAGCUGUUCAUUCAUUGAUAACUAGGCGUAUUGAAGAUGAGGACAAGGUUUCAGAGGUUAUGAAAGAUUUCAAUAAAAAGGACAAUGAUCAGGAUCGCAUAAUAAAAAUUCUCCAAGUGAUGCAUGAGUUCGAUGUAACUCCUAUUAUUCCAUCACUAACAAAAGAUAAUUCACUCUCGAACAAAUUUCGAAAUAUGGGAGAAGAAUUGUUUAAUGAAGAACCUCUCAAUAUAAACUAUUUUAAAGAAAUAUUAAUUUUAUAUUCAAAGAGUAUAGCUUAUGCGGAACCUUUAUCAACUGAACUUAGUCUGGCCUAUGAAUGCAGAUCCAAUCUUCUAUUAUUUAUGUUUCAAUAUAAAGAGUGCAUUAGUGAUAUUGACAGAGCAUUAUCCUUUAAUAAUUUACCCGAGUAUCAAACCGUCAAAUGUCAUUUGCGAAGAAUACAGUGUUUGCUCACGUUAGGAGAAAGUAUAAAUAAUGAUCUUAUCAAUGCGAUUAAUAUGGCGAAACAGAUGCCAGAGUGUCCUAGAAGACAGAAAUGUCUGAGAAUAGCACAAAAUUUAGAAAGAAUGGCACAAGGAAUAGGCAUUCCAAAAGUAUCAGUUAAUCAAAGGUACCCAGUAAAAAUUCCAGUAGUUAAGUCUCCGAACGUAGAAGUUCCAUCUGCAUCAGAUGCAGUUGCUAUUGAAUACAAUAGCCAGUGGGGGAGACAUAUUGUUGCUACCCGCGAUAUUGAACCUGGUGAACUCAUUGCAGUAGAGAAAAGUUAUACUUAUAUUUUAAAUCACACAAAUUGUUAUACUCAUUGUUCAAAUUGCACGGAAGGUUCUUUUACUCUUUUACCUUGCGAUUAUUGCUAUUGUUCAAUGUAUUGUUCAGAAAUAUGCCGAUCUGACCACUGGAAGAAAUUUCAUGAAAUAGAAUGUCCUGUAUUUUCUAUACUGUACGAGAUUUCAAAUGAUGAUAACGAAAAAUUUAAUUUUUUCUGUAUAAGACUCGUAUUACAAGCAUUAAGAGAGUUUGGAAGUAUACAAGCUUUAAAAAAUCAACUUCUUCUUUUAAAGGAAAGUAACAAACAGCGUGAUCCUAGAACACAAGGAUUUGAUUCCAAUAUGCAGUUUCUUAGUAAUAAAUAUACAAGUAUAUAUAGUCUUACAACAAAUACUGAUAAAAGAUCAUCUUUUGAUAUAUUUAGAAGAGGUUUAAGUUCUUGUACUCUUCUAUAUUUAUUGGUCAAUUAUUCUACGUUUUUUGGAGAAAAAAAAAACAUGAAAAUAUCUGAAAUAGCCGAAUAUGACGAUGCUACGUUCAUUGGUGGUCUCUUAUUAACUCAUCAACAAAUAAUACCUAGUAACGCUCAUUCUUUAGAGGAAACAUAUCGUUAUGAUCCUAAACAACGAGGAAUGGUAGCUAUGGCAUUUUACAGUCUGUUCAAUCACAGUUGUUCGGCGAAUGUAUUAAGAUAUUCUGCAGGCACAAGCACAGUUAUGCGUUCUAUAUUUCCUAUAAAGAAAGGAGAACAGCUUUUUGAUAAUUAUGGUUAUCAUUUUGGUGUAACGGUAAGAGCAAGAAGACGAGAGGGACUUCUAGGACAAUAUUAUUUCUUCUGCGAAUGCAUAGCAUGCAAAGAUAAUUGGCGUACAGAUGCUGAACUACCUAAUGUCAAAGUAUUUAUAAUUUAUGAAUUCAGUUAUAUUAUAUAAAUUAUACAGGAGGAUCUGUAACUAGUGAUACAAUCAGGCAGAGGGUGAUUCUACACGAAAAACUAAGAAUUGAUAAAACCACCGAUUAAGAGAUCGUUCAUUUCAAAAUCCUUAAAAAUGCUCGAUCAUUACAUCAUUUUUUUAGGUAGUGC